GUAAGGGUUUGCUGAGCAAAUGAAUGCUAAAGUGUAAACAAGGCUUCUCAAGUCUGCCUAAGAGCCUGCAAAGGACGACCUGCUCACAGGGCUUGGAAGCAAUCCUUUUUCAUGCUAAUUACAAACCCAUUCGGUAUUUGUGAAAUCGGGUCCCUCUGGGAUUUCUAUUUGCCAACAAGUUGUUUAUUUCCAGUGUAAAGGGGGUGGAGGGUCUAUGAAUUAUUGAGCAGCUACAAUGCCUUUGCCUGCACUCAGUGAGAGAUGGUCUAUCUUUAUCUUCACAGGCAUUCUUGGAGCCAAGCUUUGCCCCAUCCGCACCUGUGGAAUGGAGAUGUAGCCCCAAGGUGCAGAGCUGGACCAGCCAAGUGCCUGGCACGUGGUAAGCAUUCCACAGACAUAUGUUGAAGGAAUGAACAUGUGACUCCAGGAAUGAAUGAAGGAACGCGGAAUUAAAAGGUGAUUUCAUCAGAUACUGCUCUGUGCUGUUCUGUAAUAUUUGCAAGGGUGACUCUGACCCUCCCGUUGAAGUUAUAAACUGCCAUCGAGACACAGUAAGAAUUCUGCAUCUUAUGUCUCCAUCACUACCACUAAAAGGCAUCCAGUUAUAGGCAUAAAUGCUCAAAGGAGCAUCUGAGUUCUUUGCUAAUACUUCUCUCACCCUCUAUUCUCCAUUUUUUACUUAUCUUCCACACCAAUGGAAGGAUUAUACCCCAGUCUGACUAUUAGAUGAUGAACCUGUCUUUUGUUUUUUCUGUUAUCAGGACUUACUCUUUGCUGAGGGCCCAAUAAAUAAAUGAAUAAAUAAAAAAGUAUAUCUGGA
rnacentral:lncRNA from 1 species